GAUGAACGCUGGCGGCGUGCCUAAUACAUGCAAGUCGAGCGAACAGACGAGGAGCUUGCUCCUCUGACGUUAGCGGCGGACGGGUGAGUAACACGUGGAUAACCUACCUAUAAGACUGGGAUAACUUCGGGAAAACGGAGCUAAUACCGGAUAAUAUAUUGAACCGCAUGGUUCAAUAGUGAAAGACGGUUUUGCUGUCACUUAUAGAUGGAUCCGCGCCGCAUUAGCUAGUUGGUAAGGUAACGGCUUACCAAGGCAACGAUGCGUAGCCGACCGGAGAGGCUGGUCGGCCACACUGGAACGGAGACACGGUCCAUGCUCCUGCGGGAGGCAGCAGUAGGGAAUCUUCCGCAAUGGUCGAGAGCAUUACGGAGCAACGCCGCGUGUGUUGUAGAGGUCUUCCGUUCGUGAAACUCUGUUUUUAGGUAAGAACAAAUUUGUGCUUAGCUGUACACAUCUUGACGGUACCAAAUCAGAAAGCCCCGGCUAACUACGUG
rnacentral:rRNA from 1 species